rnacentral:rRNA from 1 species
GAUGAACGCUGGCGGCGUGCCUAAUACAUGCAAGUCGAGCGAACAGAUGAGGCUCUUGCUCCUCUGACGUUAGCGGCGGACGGGUGAGUAACACGUGGAUAACCUACCUAUAAGACUGGGAUCACUUCGGGAAACCGGAUCUAAUACCGGAUAAUAUAUUGAACCGCAUGGUUCAUUAGUGAAAGACGGUUUUGCUGUCACUUAUAGAUGGAUCCGCGCCGCAUUAGCUAGUUGGUAAGGUAACGGCUUACCAAGGCAACGAUGCGUAGCCGACCUGAGAGGGUGAUCGGCCACACUGGAACUGAGACACGGUCCAGACUCCUACGGGAGGCAGCAGUAGGGAAUCUUCCGCAAUGGGCGAAAGCCUGACGGAGCAACGCCGCGUGAGUGAUGAAGGUCUUCGGAUCGUAAAACUCUGUUAUUAGGGAAGAACAAAUGUGUAAGUAACUAUGCACGUCUUGACGGUACCUAAUCAGAAAGCCACGGCUAACUACGUG